AGGGACACUAAAGUAAGCAUGCAAGUGCUUGCUAGCGAACAAGUACACUGAGCGUGACCAUUUAGUUAAAUAGUCACAUGAUUGCAUAUUCGCAAGUGACUAGUUCUUUGCUACAAUGGUGUGAAGUACUACUCGAACCUGAGGCAUCAUGGUUGCUUCACAUAUAGAUUGCUACCGUUUGACUGUACUAAUACUUAGACUCUAAUCAUUGAUCUACAUCUGGUACUGAUUGGUUGUACUAGUUUAUAUGGAAAGGCAUGUGAGUGCGCAAUAAGAUGUUCAACACUCCCAAUAUUGAGAGAGAACGUCCUAUGUAAACUAUCAGACUCGACUCGAAAAACCUCUAGCCAGGGUACGUAAUGUGUGGAAGAGUUUCCAGCUAUAUUAUCAUAUUGAGUCAGUUUUAGAUAUUCUAGUCAUAUGAUUGAAUAAUAAGAUUUGGCGAGUAAUCAUAACUCUGGUUCGAUCGGGGCGUUGUGCGUUGGAAGGAAUUAAUCACACGGUAAUUAUUAGCAGAAAGGUUCGUUAUUCAUCAUCAUUCUGGAUUGCCGUAAUAUACUGUUAGGUGUCACUCACGAACAGUAAGAGAAGUAAAAAUAAUUUAAAAUAAAUUAUUUUAUAGAUUAAAAGUGUUCUAAUUCAAUAUUGAAAAGUUUGAUAUUGAACUGCAAAUGAGUCUAAUACACUAAACAGUUUAAUAAAAAUAAUAAAAAAAUUAUAUUUGAAUUUGAAUAUUACGAAAGAUUUAAUCUCUAAUUAUAUUAAAGAAUAAUUAAAUAUUCAUAGCUUAUUAUGAGAUAAUAUUCUAAUUAGAUUAGAUUUAAAUAUGAAUAUUUAAUUAUAAUUUAAUGGAUAAGAUUUGAUUAAAUUAAAUUUAUCAAAUAGAGAGAUAUGGAUAAAAUA
rnacentral:lncRNA from 1 species